CAGAGGGAGGCAGAGAGACAGAGGGAGGCAGAGAGACAGAGGGAGUCAGAGAGACAGAGGGAGGCAGAGAGAGUCACAGAAGCGAAGGAGAAUCAGAGAAAAAUGCAGAUCAAGAGACUCAAACAUCUGCUGGAGCUACUGAUGGUGGAUCUACAACUGGCCCACCAAGAGAUAGAGAGAUUGAGGCUAUGGCAGAAAGUCAUGGAGGAUCAGCGACCAAGACUGGCCUGGAACAACAAACCUAUUGAGACAGAAAGAGAGAGGGAAAGAGAGAGAGAAAGGGAGAUGGAAAGGGAGA